GACGAACGCUGGCGGCGUGCUUAACACAUGCAAGUCGAACGGUGAAGCUCCAGCUUGCUGGAGUGGAUCAGUGGCGAACGGGUGAGUAACACGUGAGCAACCUGCCCCAGACUCUGGAAUAAGCGCUGGAAACGGCGUCUAAUACUGGAUACGAGAUCAAGCCGCAUGGUUAUGGUCUGGAAAGGUUUUCGGUUUGGGAUGGGCUCGCGGCCUAUCAGCUUGUUGGUGAGGUAAUGGCUCACCAAGGCGACGACGGGUAGCCGGCCUGAGAGGGCGACCGGCCACACUGGGACUGAGACACGGCCCAGACUCCUACGGGAGGCAGCAGUGGGGAAUAUUGCACAAUGGGCGAAAGCCUGAUGCAGCGACGCCGCGUGAGGGAUGACGGCCUUCGGGUUGUAAACCUCUUUCAGCAGGGAAGAAGCGAAAGUGACGGUACCUGCAGAAGAAGCACCGGCUAACUACGUGCCAGCCGCCGCAGUAACAC
rnacentral:rRNA from 1 species